ACGAACGCUGGCGGCGUGCUUAACACAUGCAAGUCGAGCGGGAUCCAACCGGUGGCAACACCGGGGAAGAUCUAGCGGCGAACGGGUGAGUAACACGUGAGCAACCUGCCCCGAAGACUGGGAUAACACCGGGAAACCGGUGCUAAUACCGGAUGUCGUCAUUAGGCCGCAUGACCUGAUGAUGAAAGGAUUCAUCGCUUCGGGAGGGGCUCGCGGGCUAUCAGCUUGNGGUGGGGUAACGGCCUACCAAGGCGACGACGGCUAGCUGGUCUGAGAGGACGACCAGCCACACUGGGACUGAGACACGGCCCAGACUCCUACGGGAGGCAGCAGUGGGGAAUCUUGGCAAUGGGGGAAACCCCUGAUCCAGCGACGCCGCGUGGGUGAUGAAGGCCUCGGUCGUAA
rnacentral:rRNA from 1 species